UACGGUAGGCAGCGAGCGUUUGUUCGGAGUUACUGGGGCGUAAAGGGUGUGUAGGCGGUUUUCUAAGUUUGGUGUGAAUCUCCCGGCUCAACCGGGAGGGUGCGCCGAAAACUGGGAGACUAGAGUGCGGGGAUGGGAGAGUAGAAUUCCUGGUGUAGCGGUGAAAUGCGUAGAUAUCAGGAGGAAUACCGGUGGUGUAGACGGCUCUCUGGACCGCCACUGACGCUGAGACACGAAAGCGUGGGUAGCAAACAGG
rnacentral:rRNA from 1 species